rnacentral:lncRNA from 1 species
AGCGAGACUCCAUGGGCGUAGGACCCUCCAAGCCAGAUGAGGAGACGGAAGUCCAGAGGGUUUCAAUCGCUUGCCCAAAGUCACAGAGUCGGGAAGUGCAGAGCCAGGCCACUGCCUGGUUUUAAAUUCUGGGUGGAAAUGCAACGUGCCGGUCAACAUGGUGUGCUGAUGUUUCUGCCCUCUGGGGCCAAUUCCACCACUCCCUGGAAAGUGAUGUGAUGACCCUGGGCUUGAGUCCAAAGAACAUAGGAGAGUUUUGGCAGGUCGAUGGUGUGUUGGUGCCAACCCACUUAGAGCGAAAACUGUUUAAACCAGUUUUAAUUGGAUUUCCCUCACUUGCAACAAGGAAGACCUGAAUAAUAUUGCUUCUGUCUGUAUGUCCAAAUACUUUCAUUUUUCAAGAAGCAAUGUUAUACCAACGUCAGAACAAAGGAACACUUUAUGCUGAUCCUUGCAGUUUCCAUUAUUAGAGACCCAAAGGAAUCAGACCAGGAGAUCGUUUUGCUUUAAACUAGUAGAAUCUGACCUAAGGCAAAUAUCACUUGAGAAAAAGGAGAAAACACAUUUCUUCCUUCAACAGCGUCAUCCCCAUUCUUGGCAGAGAGAGAUGUGAAUGACCAACAGCCAUGCCAUUGCAUAGUUUCAUCUUUCAUGUAACUUUUUCAUAUUUGAAGCCAAACAUUUGGAGCCAAAGCCUGAUAACCCAGCGAGUCAAGUGCUCAUGUCACUAUUGCUUGUGUCUCCAUGGGACAGGCUUGAUUGAAAAUUGCUAAGACAAUAUUUUU